ACAAAGAUUUAAUAGAUACAGUCCCACUAGAUAGCGAUAUCUAGAUGGUAUCUUCUCUAAUUGCUGGAACGUCCUUAGAGCUGUCUCACCACAAGUACCGCGAAAGCAGGUAUUGACGGUUUGAAAACGAGAUAGAUUGGACAAUCAGCAGCCAAGACCCUAAGUCGAAAGAUAUGGGUAAGGUUCAACGACUAACCGCUUAUCACGGUGUAGGGCUCAAGUGGGCUCGAAAUGGGAAGCCUCUCACGUAGGGGAAGAUAUAGUCUCGACAUCUAGGGAAAGCCUAGAG
rnacentral:ncRNA from 1 species